GAUCAUGGCUCAGGAUGAACGCUAGCUACAGGCUUAACACAUGCAAGUCGAGGGGCAGCGGGAUUGAAGCUUGCUUCAAUUGCAGGCGACCGGCGCACGGGUGAGUAACGCGUAUCCAACCUUCCGUACACUCAGGGAUAGCCUUUCGAAAGAAAGAUUAAUACCUGAUGGUAUCUUAAGUACACAUGUAAUUAAGAUUAAAGAUUUAUCGGUGUACGAUGGGGAUGCGUUCCAUUAGGUAG
rnacentral:rRNA from 1 species